rnacentral:rRNA from 1 species
AGCAGAGUUUGAUCAUGGCUCAGGACGAACGCUGGCGGCAUGCCUAACACAUGCAAGUCGAACGCGUGUAGCAAUACACGAGUGGCGCACGGGUGAGUAACGCGUGGGAACCUGCCCUGGAGUGUGGGAUAACCCGGCGAAAGCCGGGCUAAUACCGCAUACGACCUGAGGGUGAAAGAUUUAUCGCUCUUGGAGGGGCCCGCGUCGGAUUAGCUAGUUGGUGGGGUAAUGGCCUACCAAGGCAGUGAUCGGUAGCUGGUCUGAGAGGAUGGUCAGCCACACUGGGACUGAGACACGGCCCAAACUCCUACGGGAGGCAGCAGUGGGGAGUAUUGCACAAUG